rnacentral:rRNA from 1 species
UACGAGGGAUGCAAGCGUUAUCCGGAAUUAUUGGGCGUAAAGCGUUUGUAGGCGGGCGAGUGUGUUAAAUGUUAAAUCUUAAAGCUCAACUUUGAAAUUGCGUUAAAAACUGCUUGUCUUGAGUAUGGUAGGGGUAAAGGGAAUUCCCAAUGUAGCGGUGAAAUGCGUAGAUAUUGGGAAGAACACUAAACAGCGAAGGCACUUUACUAGGUUAAUACUGACGCUGAGAAACGAAAGGUAAGGUAGCGAAACGG